UGGGGAAUAUUGCACAAUGGAGGGAACUCUGAUGCAGCGACGCCGCGUGAGUGAUGAAGGAAUUCGUUUCGUAAAACUCUGUUCUAUGGGAAGAAAAGGACUGUACCAUAGGAGAAAGCUCCGGCUAAAUACGUGCCAGCAGCCGCGGUAAUACGUAUGGAGCGAGCGUUGUCCGGAAUUAUUGGGCGUAAAGGGUGCGCAGGCGGCUUUACAAGUUGGAUGUGAAAUAUUGUGGCUCAACCACAAACGUGCAUCCAAAACUGCAAAGCUUGAGUUAAGGAGAGGUAAGUGGAAUUCCUGGUGUAGCGGUGGAAUGCGUAGAUAUCAGGAGGAAUACCGGUGGCGAAGGCGACUUACUGUACUUCAACUGACGCUCAGGCACGAAAGCGUGGGGAGCAAACAGG
rnacentral:rRNA from 1 species